rnacentral:rRNA from 1 species
GUGUCAGCCGCCGCGGUAAUACGUAUGGGGCAAGCGUUAUCCGGAUUCAUUGGGCGUAAAGAGCGCGUAGGCGGCUUGUUAAGUCAGAUGUGAAAACCGGAGGCUCAACCUCCGGCCUGCAUCUGAAACUGGCAGGCUUGAGUCUGGUAGAGGAAAGUGGAAUUCCCAGUGUAGCGGUGAAAUGCGCAGAUAUUGGGAGGAACACCAGUGGCGAAGGCGGCUUUCUGGGCCACGACUGACGCUGAGGCGCGAAAGCUAGGGGAGCAAACAGGAUUAGAAACCCCCGUAGUCC